rnacentral:tRNA from 1 species
GGAGACAUGGCAGAGCGGUCGAAUGCGCUUCCCUGCUAAGGAAGUAUAGGUAGUAGAUAUCUAUCGAGGGUUCAAAUCCCUCUGUCUCCGCCA